rnacentral:rRNA from 1 species
CAGCCGCCGCGGUAAUACGGAGGGUGCAAGCGUUAAUCGGAAUUACUGGGCGUAAAGCGUGCGUAGGCGGCUUUUUAAGUCGGAUGUGAAAUCCCUGAGCUUAACUUAGGAAUUGCAUUCGAUACUGGGAAGCUAGAGUAUGGGAGAGGAUGGUAGAAUUCCAGGUGUAGCGGUGAAAUGCGUAGAGAUCUGGAGGAAUACCGAUGGCGAAGGCAGCCAUCUGGCCUAAUACUGACGCUGAGGUACGAAAGCAUGGGGAGCAAACAGGAUUAGAUACCCCUGUAGUCCCUGUCUCUUAUAA